rnacentral:rRNA from 1 species
GAUGAACGCUGGCGGCGUGCUUAACACAUGCAAGUCGAACGGAAAGGCUCCUCCUUGCAGGGGUACUCGAGUGGCGAACGGGUGAGUAACACGUGGGUGAUCUGCCCUGCACUUCGGGAUAAGCCUGGGAAACUGGGGCUAAUACCGGAUAGGACGAUGGGUUGGAUGCCAGUGUGGAGAGAUUUUCGGCGUGGGGUGAGCUCGCGGCCGAUCAGCUUGUUGGUGGGGGGAUGGCCUUCCAAGGCGUCGGCGGGGAGCCGGCCUGGGGGGGGGUACGGCCCCCUUGGGGCUUGGGUUCGGCCCAGGCCCCCACCGGGGGCAGCCGUGGGGGAUAUUGCCCAAUGGGCGCGAGCCUGAUGCAGCGACGCCGCGGGGGGGAUGACCGCCUUCGGGUUGUAAACCCCUUUCGCUAGGGACGAAGCGUUUUGUGACGGUACCUGGUGAAGAAGCACCGGCUAACUACGUG